GACGAACGCUGGCGGCGUGCUUAACACAUGCAAGUCGAACGAUGAUGCCUAGCUUGCUAGGUGGAUUAGUGGCGAACGGGUGAGUAACACGUGAGUAACCUGCCCUUCACUCUGGGAUAAGCCUUGGAAACGGGGUCUAAUACUGGAUAUUACUUGAGCCUGCAUGGGUUCGGGUGGAAAGCUUUAUGUGGUGGAGGAUGGACUCGCGGCCUAUCAGCUUGUUGGUGAGGUAGUGGCUCACCAAGGCGACGACGGGUAGCCGGCCUGAGAGGGUGACCGGCCACACUGGGACUGAGACACGGCCCAGACUCCUACGGGAGGCAGCAGUGGGGAAUAUUGCACAAUGGGCGAAAGCCUGAUGCAGCGACGCCGCGUGAGGGAUGAAGGCCUCGGGUUGUAACCGUACUUCUAGCAGGAAGAAGCGAGAGUGACGGUACCUGCAGAAGAAGACACCGGCUAACUACGUGCCAGCAGCCGCGGUAAAACGUAAGACG
rnacentral:rRNA from 1 species